rnacentral:rRNA from 1 species
AGCAGCCGCGGUAAUUCCAGCUCCAAUAGCGUAUAUUAAAGUUGUUGCAGUUAAAAAGCUCGUAGUUGAAUUUCGGGGUCAGUAGGUUGGUCGUGCCACUGGUAUGCACUGGUCUCACUGAUUCCUCCUUCCUGAUGAGCCGUAAUGCCAUUAAUUUGGUGUUGCGGGGAAUCUGGACUGUUACUUUGAAAAAUUAGAGUGUUUAAAGCAGGCUAACGCUUGAAUACAUUAGCAUGGAAUAAUGAAAUAGGACGAUCGAUCCUAUUUUGUUGGUUUCUAGGAUUGACGUAAUGAUUAAUAGGGAUAGUUGGGGGCAUUAGUAUUCAAUUGUCAGAGGUGAAAUUCUUGGAUUUAUUGAAGACUAACUACUGCGAAAGCAUUUGCCAAGGAUGUUUUCAUUAAUCAAGAACGAAAGUUAGGGGAUCGAAGACGAUCAGAUACCGUCGUAGUCUUAACCAUAAACUAUGCCGACUAGGGAUCGGAUGAUGUUAAUUUUUAAUGA